GCUGGACGUGGUGGCGCAUGCCUGUAAUCCCAGUGGCUCAGGAGGCUAAGGCCGGAGGAUCACGAGUUCAAAGCCAGCCUCAGCAAUGGCAAGGCACUAAGCAACUCAGUGAGACCCUGUCUCUA
rnacentral:sRNA from 1 species